rnacentral:rRNA from 1 species
GACGAACGCUGGCGGCGUGCUUAACACAUGCAAGUCGAACGAUGAAGAAGAGAAACGCGACCUUCGGUUCAAAUUUCACUUCGGUUAGUGGCAAGCGGGUGAGUUACCUGUUAGGCAACCAUACCUUAGCAAAGGCAUAGCUCGGGGAACCUGGUAUAAUACCACACGUAACCCUUUAAAGGCAACCUAAUAAGGUGUAAGCUAAGGCGGUAAGAGAUUGGCCUGCGUCCCAUUCGCCGGUUGGUGAGGUAAAGGCCCCCCAAGGCGACCAGGGGUAAACGGCCUGAGAGGGUGAACGGUCACAUUGGCACUGGGCCACGGUCCAGACUCCUACGGGAGGCAGCAGUGGGGAAUAUUGCACAAUCGCGGGAGCUCUGAUGCAGCGACGCCGCGUGAGCGAUGAAAGAAUUCGUUUCGUAAAGCUCUGUUCUAUGGGAAGAAAAGGACUGUACCAAAGGAGAAAGCCCCGGCUAACUACGUG